AAGAAUAUACUUUCAGGUAUCAUUUCUGUAGUUAAUAAUUUGAGGAAUGUGUUUCAAAAGUGUGUGGUUUUGCUGACCAUAGUGAAGAGUUGAUGAUACACCUUCCUCAACACGAAACAGGCAGAAAAUUGAUUUUUAUUCAUGUUUCUGCGCUUGAUGACUAUUUAUUGUUUCUUCUGUAGACAGUGACGGAAAGAGUGGU
rnacentral:snoRNA from 1 species